rnacentral:rRNA from 1 species
GACGAACGCUGGCGGCGUGCUUAACACAUGCAAGUCGAACGGAAAGGCCCUGCUUUUGUGGGGUGCUCGAGUGGCGAACGGGUGAGUAACACGUGAGUAACCUGCCCUUGACUUUGGGAUAACUUCAGGAAACUGGGGCUAAUACCGGAUAGGAUCUCCUGCUGCAUGGUGGGGGUUGGAAAGUUUCGGCGGUUGGGGAUGGACUCGCGGCUUAUCAGCUUGUUGGUGGGGUAGUGGCUUACCAAGGCUUUGACGGGUAGCCGGCCUGAGAGGGUGACCGGCCACAUUGGGGCUGAGAUACGGCCCAGACUCCUACGGGAGGCAGCAGUGGGGAAUAUUGCACAAUGGGCGGAAGCCUGAUGCAGCAACGCCGCGUGCGGGAUGACGGCCUUCGGGUUGUAAACCGAUUUCGCCUGUGACGAAGCGUGAGUGACGGUAAUGGGUAAAGAAGCACCGGCUAACUACGUG